rnacentral:rRNA from 1 species
AGCGAACGCUGGCGGCAGGCCUAACACAUGCAAGUCGAACGAACCUUUCGGGGUUAGUGGCGGACGGGUGAGUAACACGUGGGAACGUGCCUUUAGGUUCGGAAUAACUCAGGGAAACUUGUGCUAAUACCGAAUGUGCCCUUCGGGGGAAAGAUUUAUCGCCUUUAGAGCGGCCCGCGUCGGAUUAGCUAGUUGGUUGAGGUAAUGGCUCACCAAGGCGACGAUCAGUAGCUGGUCUGAGAGGAUGAUCAGCCACAUUGGGACUGAGACACGGCCCAAACUCCUACGGGAGGCAGCAGUGGGGAAUCUUGCGCAAUGGGCGAAAGCCUGACGCAGCCAUGCCGCGUGAAUGAUGAAGGUCUGAGGAUUGUAAAAUUCUUUCACCGGGGACGAUAAUGACGGUACCCGGAGAAGAAGCCCCGGCUAACUUCGUG